rnacentral:rRNA from 1 species
GCGGCAAGACGGAAAGACCCCGUGAACCUUUACUAUAGCUUGACACUGAACAUUGAGCCUUGAUGUGUAGGAUAGGUGGGAGGCUUUGAAGCGUGGACGCCAGUCUGCGUGGAGCCGACCUUGAAAUACCACCCUUUAAUGUUUGAUGUUCUAACGUGGACCCGUGAUCCGGGUUGCGGACAGUGUCUGGUGGGUAGUUUGACUGGGGCGGUCUCCUCCUAAAGAGUAACGGAGGAGCACGAAGGUUGGCUAAUCCU